rnacentral:lncRNA from 1 species
AUGCACACCCUCUAUAUAUACAUGAACACACACAUUCCACACACAUACCCUACACACACAUACCCUCUACACACACAUGCACACCCUACACACACACACCCCACACACAUGCACGCCUUUCACACACACACACAUACCCUCUACACACACAUGCACACACUACACACACCCCACACACAUGCACUCCCUCCAUAUACACACACACAUACCCUACACACACAUACCCUCUACACACACAAGCACACCCUCCACACACACAACCCCUCUCUACACAUACAUCCUACACACACACACAUGCACACCCUCCACACACACACUGUACACACACGUACAUGUACACCCCAUACACACACAUGCACUCCCUCCAUAUACACACGCACACCCUCCAUACACACAACCCCUCUCUACACAUACACCCUCCACACACACACGCACACCUUCCACACACAUGCACACCCUCCAUAUGCACAUGCACACACACACCCCACACACAUGCACGCCUUUCACACACACACACAUACCCUCUACACACACAUGCACACCCUACACACACACAACCCAACCCACACACAUGCACACCUUUCACACACACACACACCCUACACACACAUACCCUCUACACAUACACGCACACCCUCCACACACACAACCCCUCUCUACACAUACAUCCUACACACACACAUGCACACCCUCCACAUACACACACACUGUACACACACGUACAUGUAUACCCCAUACACACACAUGCACUCCCUCCAUAUACACAUGCACACCCUCACAUACACACACUGUCCAUACACAUGUAUACACACUACACACACACACACACACCCUUCAUACAUACCCUCUGCCUACACACACCCUUUAAUACACAUGCAAAUGAAUACAGACAUGCACAUGCACACAUGCAGCCCUCCAUACACAUACCCCUGCACACACAUGCACACACACUCCCUGCAUACAUGCACACACGCAACCCUUGAAACACUCAUCCUCAGUACACACGCACGUGCACACAUGCACCCUUGA